ensembl:lncRNA
CUUGAAACUUACAACCUGGAAAUUCCCCCAAGUAUUGGAUGGAAAUAGGGAUAGGGAACAAUGAAGUAAAGUGGAAACUUUGCUAGUUUCUUUGCCCCUUCUCCUAUGAAAUCUUACUUCUUUGCUUGUCUAAUCAUGUUUUCGGGUCAGUUUUUUUCCCCCUUACACCAAGGAGUUGUUAUUUUAAAACAGAAAAAAAAAAUUAAUGAGAAGACUAAAGGGGCUUUGUGAUGAUUUGUUUUCGUUAAAUGUUUAAUUUUAAGGGCCCAUUAUGCUCGAGGGAGGAAGUAGGUGUCCACCUAUUGCUGUUCUCCUGGGGAGCUGGUUUUCCUUGCUUGAUUCAGGUGACUGGGGUUUUCUGCAACAUUACCCUGGCUCUGGAUCCCACCCAGGAGAUUUGAGCUUCCCUCCGACUGCCCAGCUAUAAACGCCCCACCCAGUAGCCGCUCGGCGGAGGAGCGGAAACUCCUGCUGGGUCCUCCAUCGCUUUUCCUGGGUGGAGGCCAAUUCACCAGCUCCAGCCACAGUGAGCCAAGCGAUAGCUCAGGGCACGGUGCAGGUUUCCUCUCCCGCGCCUGGAGUCACGCUACCUUCUGCCCACACGCGCUUCCUUUGUGUGAUGCCUGGCUAAUAUAUCAGUGAGGCAGGCCUAAGUACUGCUAGGAGGGAAGAAGCAAUUCCAACUGUGGUGGAUUCAAAAUUUGGAGCUGGAAAACUAUGUUAUGACUUUGAGACUCAGACUGGGCUCCCAAGGCCUGGAAGGAUUCGCCAACUCUAUAUAGUGACUGUUGGGCUAAGUCAUGCCAAAGAUUAACCCCCCAGGCUACACCUGUCUCUUGAGUUACAACAUUUCUAUGAACCAGGCAAUUAGAAAGGAAAUGCUUAUUUCAUCUGACAAAUAAUUCACAUUGGAAAUAUAGUCAUGGAUUGUGAGUUAGGUAGGGAGAGGAAGUAAGAAAUGAUCUUCACUGCAUUCCAUUCGCUUGGGUCAUCUUUUAAAGUAGAAGACAGGAAGGGAAAACUGGCAUGGUAAUCAACACGAAAGGUUGUAAGGCCUCUGAUGAUUCAGAGUAACAUUAAGAAGUUGUGUAAUAAUAUUAUAGUCUAUAUAAAUACACCAAAUAGAAGAUUGCAAAGAUAUUAUAUUCCCUCAAGCUGCCUGUUGAGUCCUGAGAGGAUCAAGUUCUACCUGAUUCUUGAUUUACAUGAUGUAACAGCUGAUUGUGUUGUGUGUUGUGUUUUAUUUAAUUCUUUAUAUAAUGAGAAUAUAUUUUUUAAUGUUCAAAGAGGUUUCUUAAAUAAAGUUUUGAUUUUUCAGGAUUUGUAUUAAACAUAUAUUUUAAAGCCAUAUGUUCACUUACAGUUGUUACCAGAUGAUGCUGUUUGUGGAAUAACCUGCAAUUUUAAGAAUAAGCACAAAUUCACUUUAACAGAGUAAAACAGCCUUCCCUAGUUUACUCAUUUUCAGCACCACCAAGAGAAGUGUUGUAACCAGUGUUCAAUUUGAAAUAUGAAAACUCUGGACCAUAGUGAGAUUCUUUUCUACUAAGUGCA